rnacentral:lncRNA from 1 species
UAGAUCGAUCAUCCUUUUGACUUGUAGAGUAUUUGAGUUUUCAUCCGAAUUUUUUGAGGAUUAUAUAUGUUUCUCGAUCGGGAUGUACUUAUUGUUUCUUUCGUUAAUUACUUGAUUAGUAUUUGUAAGAUGUACAACUGCUGAUGAGAAUCUGUACAUAAAUGUUUAAAGAAGUUAAUUGGUACAUAUAUCCUCGUAUGAUCUUGUCUCAAACGUCCACUGUCAAGUCAUCUGGAAUUAAGGCGAAUAUCCAAGGAAUCUGUGUAAGGUAAAACUUCAAAUCCCCUUUAAGAUGCCUGUUCAGGUAUGCAACAGCUGGUGAGAGCCAAACCAAACUACCAAGCACAUAUACCAUCGAAAGUCGUAUAUUGACGAAUCACAAAUCAUUGAAGAUGAAUGUUGAUACUACAAGUGAGGUAUAGCCGAGGUGGUAGUUCCGCCGGCUUUUAGGCUGGAAAUUUCUAGUUCGGUCUGCUUAAAUAAGUACCAGAGCUGAAGGUCGGCAGCCACAAGGUUUACCUGACUCAAAUAACGACUGGAAUAAACAGCAGUUCAGAUCGAAUAAACAGCCACCUGUAAGCAUUGCAAGAUCAGACCCAGCAUAUUGAAACAUUUUGAAUUUGUGGCUCACCGUACCUAUACCAAAACCAUGUUGCGAUCAUCAUUGUGCUUUCAGAAACUAAUUAAUAUCACUUUGACAAUAAUUAGAGAAAACUGAAUUUAGCAAGGAUAUGAACAUGUCCCUAAAAAUUGAAGUCGUAAAGAAAAGUCAAAUAAUAAUACUAAUUUUCCUGAACAUGCAAAAGUUCCAUGGACUCACAAGGCAUGAUCCAGAAGUAGAUACUGUGUGUAAAAAGUGUUAUCAAUUCCAAACAUCACAUUUUUUUAAGGGAUUGAAAUUUGUAUUUCGAGUCCUUAUAUAUAGAGAGAUUUUGAACAUAGCAGUUCUCACACCAUUUCUUAAAUUGUAUUACAAUAGUACUAAGAGCUUCCUGUAAGACAAUCACGUAUGGCGGAUGAAAAAGUGGUCUUUUGUACGUGAAUUACACUCCAGGUAAACAAAGGGAAUUCAAGAAAAAAACAAAGAGUUCCCUCUGUUUACCUAUAGGGCAAUUUACGCAAGGAAAGACCACCCUUUCAUCCACCAUACUUGAUUGUCUUAAACAAGAUAUUGCAAUCAUGGUGCAGUCUGCGCAGUACAGUGUAGGCUAUACCAUUAUCUAUUUUUAAAUUUCUAUUCAAUCUCCUCUAAACUCAUUAUUGCAUAUUAGUUCGUGCCUACCAAUAUAAAAACUCGUUUUCCUCAUCCAAAGGCAAACCUUUCUUUGGAUGCAUGUUGGUGUUACCUUCACUCCCACCUUCAGUUCUGUUUUCUAGAAAGUUAUAAAAACGUUGCUUUCCCUUCUCUCACGUAUUGUCUUCAUUGUGUUUCCAAAUCUAAAUAAAUACCAAAGAAAGUAAUUCGGAAUAAGUACCUGACUAGUACUAGCUAUGCUGCAUAAAGGUUGCACCUUCUUGCAAUACGACUUUGCUUUGGUGGAGUUCCGUCAGCCAUUAUAUCUUCGACACAAACCUGCUUUUGCAAAAGAACAAAACAACUUAUCACACAAGAAAAGCAGAACAGGAAGCAGUAAUUUCUGAACGUAUCAAUCGGUAUGACUUCUACAUAUAUAUGAGAAACUGAGACACAUAGAUUAAGUAACAAAGAAAGUAUUAUAAGUUCAAAGAACUAAGGACAAUGUUUCUGAAGCAAUAUUCUUUUAUGCAAAUCUAGAUACUUCUCAAGCUAAUAAUACUAUUAACACCAGGUGAACAACAGGUCCUGGUGAGUUUUCGGUCUUUCUCCCGUCUUUUCUAAUCUCCAAAAUAGUCCUAAGCAAACCACAACCAGCUAGAGGAAGUGCUAUAAGAUGUUUCAGUACCAUCAAUUGACAGUGAAAAAGUGAAAGAUAGCACAUUUGAACUUAUUGCAAACACCAGUCACCAAAGUUAAAGCCAAACGGCAGCAUAGAUCCACAUGACGAUUACCAAGAAAAGUGUAACGAUUGAACCCAACCUUAAUUAACUUGGCAUGAAGAGCUGUAACAUUUUUCAAGGAUUUCAGUGAGAAACCGUGGUCGAUAAGAUGAAUGCAGUGGGCAAGAGAAGGUUUAAGGAUCCUAUGGUUGUGAUUCACGAGAGGGUACAUGGAAAUAAUGGAUCUUAUAAUUGGUCACUGGAGCAAAGCAGAGUUCUUCAUAGCACUUUCUUAACCUUUCAACUUGAUUCACUGAACUACCUCAUGAUUCUACGCCAGAAGAUGCUGAGAUAACAAACUGAUAAGAUAUUCAACGAUUAGUACGCAUCUUUAUGUUAAGACAAAGCCCUAAUUCACUAUGACAACUCGAAGAGAACCUCGUGAGCUACAAUGGGUCAGUAGUACACUCUAAAAGUUGUAUAAUCCGGAAUCUCGCAACAUCAGUGCAUACUAAAUGUAUAUAGUUUAUACUGAAUGCAAAUCAACCAAAACCUGUUUGAAUAUCUGGAUCGAAGAUUAUGAUCAAUCAACAGAAACAGAGGGGCCUAAUUACUCAACAAAGCUGUGGAAAACUGACACACACUACAUAAGGAAAUAACCACUUUUCAAUCCCAGAAGACCAAUUAAUCGAAUCAAGAACAGUAAGAACAUCCUUGCGAUUAUAAGAUCCCCCCUAAGAGAUGGGAAAAAACUCCAACAAGAUUACCUCAUAUAAAAAAAAUAUGUUGCCACCCAGAUCUCCGUAGCAAUUCACGAACUAUUUGCUGCAAACUAAAGCUCGAACCGAACUAAAAGGUGGCCCGGCAAGGAUGAGAACGUGGCCGGAGUGUAUCGACGGCGAGUAGUUUGUCGGAGUUCAGUAACUUAAGACAGACCGUUAGUCGACUGUAGGCUGUAGCAUGAAGUUUCUUAAUGGAGCUUUUUUGGGCCUUUCUAAAAAUAGCCUCGUCCACAUCAGGGCCCAGUCCAAGCUGACUUUUGAGGUUUUAGCAUCGAGAUUCCGAGAUCGGCCCAGACCCACAAAAAGUAUAUCCCACGAGUUGGAAAAUUUAUAAUUAUUGUAACGUAACGGCUAUAUUUCUC